rnacentral:rRNA from 1 species
GACGAACGCUGGCGGCGUGCUUAACACAUGCAAGUCGAACGGAAAGGCCCUGCUUUUGUGGGGUGCUCGAGUGGCGAACGGGUGAGUAACACGUGAGUAACCUGCCCUUGACUUUGGGAUAACUUCAGGAAACUGGGGCUAAUACCGGAUAGGAGCUCCUGCUGCAUGGUGGGGGUUGGAAAGUUUCGGCGGUUGGGGAUGGACUCGCGGCUUAUCAGCUUGUUGGUGGGGUAGUGGCUUACCAAGGCUUUGACGGGUAGCCGGCCUGCGAGGGUGACCGGCCACAGUGGGACUGGGAUACGGCCCAGACUCCUACGGGAGGCAGCAGUGGGGAAUAUUGCACAAUGGGCGGAAGCCUGAUGCAGCAACGCCGCGUGCGGGAUGACGGCCUUCGGGUUGUAAACCGCUUUCGCCUGUGACGAAGCGUGAGUGACGGUAAUGGGUAAAGAAGCACCGGCUAACUACGUG